GUUGUGUACAGACUUACUUACUUCUCUGUCUACUUUUCUUACUCCAUGUAGGUUUCCCAGAGACUAUGGGUUGAGGAGGAAGUGGAAGUUUGUCGGCUUAGACCUGGUGUCAUUCCAUCAGUGUUUAACUUCCCGGCUCAUCUUGGAAGAGUACGUGCCAGAAAGACCACGACCAAGCAGCCUUGAGAUCUUAGGCAGCGUCUCCCUGAGGUCCCUCUCUAUCUCCCCACACAUCCACCAACCACUGGAACACAUCUCCAAAGUUCUGCUGGACCAGCUCAGCUUCCCCUCAGAAGAAGUGCCGCCACCUGCCAGAUGAAGGAGCCUUUUGAGAGGCAGCUGGCAUCGUGAUUGGACUGUACUUUGGUCUGUUCCAAUCCAGCUUCAGCUCCAGAGACGGCAGGCGGGACGAGUCAACGGAGGCCUGGUGGACGAAGACCAAAGAACUACAGACUCUUCACAACCUGCUCAAACUCUUGGUACAGGACCUCACCACACGGGUCAAGAAGGUUUCUGUCUCAUUUCUACUCUGAAGCUCACCUUCUCCUGCUCAAACUGC
ensembl:lncRNA